UACGGAGGGGGCUAGCGUUGUUCGGAAUUACUGGGCGUAAAGCGCGCGUAGGCGGAUCUGCAAGUCGGGGGUGAAAUCCCGAGGCUCAACCUCGGAACUGCCUUCGAUACUGCGGGUCUCGAGUCCGGGAGAGGUGAGUGGAAUUCCCGGUGUAGCGGUGAAAUGCGCAGAUAUCGGGAAGAACACCCGUGGCGAAGGCGGCUCUCUGGGACGGUACUGACGCUGAGACGCGAAAGCGUGGGGAGCGAACAGG
rnacentral:rRNA from 1 species